UAUUUACGAGUUUGCCACCGGGCUGAUUUGGGUCCGAAUUCGCUUUAUUUACAAAAUUGCCACCGCCUCGGGUGCCGAUCUGGGAUCGAGAUGGACGGACAGUGGGAGAGGGAGAGAGAGCGAUAGAGGGACCGAGGGAGGAGUGGGGAUUUGAGGGGUAGGCUGAUUUCCAUUGUCAUUUCGAUUUGGGAGAGGGUGGUUGCGGUCGGUGAGAUUGAGGGAUGGGUGUGAGAUUCGGUGAGGGUAAAUCUCAGACUCAGCGGGUCAAACUCAGUCCUUGGCACCCUUGCAAAUCUAGCUUCGAGCUGUACAUUUUUCUCACUGCAUCUGCACAACCUUGUCCUGCCACUGUUUAGUGAAUUUUUCAUGAUUUUGUAAAAAAAUUCGUUUAAAUUUCUGAGCUUUGGAGGGUUCUUCAUUUAACUUAUGGGUUUUUUAGAAUACUUAGAUUAAAUUUGUGAGUUUGGUAGUGGUAUUUUUUCUGUGCAUUUUUGGUGAACGUGGUUGUGGGUUUUGAUGUUUGUCUGCAGCAGGGAAGGGGAAGAAAAUCAUUCCACGCCAUCCAACAGUUCCUGACUCUCAGGGUGCACCGUCAACUCACUAACCAAGUGCUAUUUCAGCACCUGUAGGAGAGGUCCUCUACAAAUGCAGCACUAUCUAAUUUGGUUGAUUUAAUCAAAGCAUAAAAGCAAACAACUCACAUACAGAAAUUAUAUCAAGCAACUGGCUAUUCAAUCAAAAUUUAACACAGCAAAAUGUUCACCUAAAACCCUCUCUUGUACGGCUACAUUGAUGUCAACAACCUUUUAGUUUGUUAGUCUGCACAGGUUCGGUGGCUUCUUUGUAAUGAUAUUCCUUAUGACCCUAGGGUCUGCUCAGUCGACUGGUAGAAUAAGGUCCCAAUAUUUCUACCUUUAUAUUUCUACCUUUAUAUUUCUACCUUUAUAUUUCUACCUUUAUUUAUAUAUAUAUGUAUGGAUAGCUGCUUCGAUGUUCCCUUGGUGUACAUAUUUUACACACAAAGCACUUUUGAAAGUUUACUGUUAUUAAUGUGAGUUAGUUUUUUCUUUUUUACUAUUAAACUAAUUUGUGGACCCUAAUUUCUACGAGAGCAUCUCAUUAUCGUAGAAAUAAAUAACAUAAUAAAUCAUAAAAUUAAAGAGGAGGGCUUGGUCAUAACUAUAUUUGAUAAGUAAUUCGUAACUCUUAUUACACGUAACAUGUGAUAUUCUUUUUGUUUGCUAAAAAGAAAGUGAUUCGUUAUAUAUGCAUGGUGUGUGUGAGUUAGCACCGAGCUAAUAGGUGAAUCUACAAAGAAGAGCAUUUAUAUACCUGCUGCUUGAUGUGGAAUUUUGCUUUUGUUUUUAGCAAUAACACGUACAAUCUUGGAUUCUAUUACAACGAAAGCAGAUCAGUUUCAGAGUGAAAUUUAUAAUUGAUUUUGUAGUUUUAUUGGUGUGAAUUAUCCUGCACACACCAUGGUAUCUUUGCUAAUGAGUAGUCUGCAGGGUCCUUUGGUCCGAAAGAGUUUCAGCAGCUAGGCAGUGCAACGGUCGUUGAGUACUUCCAUGUGCCUCCUUAUGCUGGGAUUUUGUUAGACUGGUAUCCCAGGAAGAAGUUGUCAAGUUAAGUGAACAAUUGAGUCAUUUGAAAAGUUUGGGGUUCUAAGCCAUUGCUUCUGAAUCAAGACUUUGUUAAGCUCGAGGUCUCAUCACAACAUCGUAAUCUGCUCUUACUGCUGCCUUUCAUCUAAGGGUUUUGAGGCAUUACGUUUGAAUCAAGGCUUUGAUUGGAAUGGGAACAAUUUGAGCACUCCUAAAACUGAAAAGGUCUUCAAAGAUUGCGAGAAUGGCUGUGCCAAAUAUGGAUUAUCAUCCAUGCAAGGAUGACGUACGACAAUGGAGGAUGCUGUUAAAUGUGUCUUAUUCAUGUAAUUAAGGCUGGUGCAUUCAAAUCACGUAGCAACGCGCGGGCAUAUUUCUAGUGUUAUCUAAUGCGGAGACCUUCGUCUUUGCAAUCUGCAGAUCCACGGGCAUUUGGGCAAUGGUGGGUUUGCAGACCAGGUAAAUGGAGAAAACAUGCUGAGUUCGAACAUCUAACUACCACCUAACUAAAAAAAGAACAUCAACUACCCCCAUUUAAUUAUACAUGGCUACCCAAAUUACUGGGAGAAAUUUGGAAAAAUACAAUAACAACAAAGCCUUUUCCUACUAAGUGGGGUCGGCUAUAUGAAUCAUAAAACGUCAUUGCGCUCGGUUUUGUGUCACGUCCUCCGUUAGAAAAAAUUUGGAAAAAUAACCAUAAUUUUUACCUCGUAUAUAGUUAUAGCCAACAUUUUAAGUUUGUGAUAAUUAUAAUCAAAAUUUAAUAGGGAAAUUUUAUUUAAACCCAUAUAACUUAUUUUUACACCCAACUUAAAUUUUAAAUGUUAGUCGUCUAUUUUACAUUAUUGCAUAAUUACUAUUAAGUACAAAAUGAAAUUAAUAAUAAAACUUAAAUUUAUCAAUAAACCCAAACAUUAUAAUUAAACCCUACAAUCACUCUUUGUUUAUCCUAUGUUCAUUCCGGCUAAAACUCUAAUAGCUCUCAUAGGGAAAAACAAUUUUUCUUUAUUGAUGGAUGGUGAUUUUGAAGUUUUGAAUCCUCCAAUCAAGGUAUGAUUCAAUUUAUGAAUUUUUUGUUCAUUUGAUUUCAAUUUUUUAGAGUUUAGAAGAUGUGUAUUUUAACUUUUAGAUGUACAUUCUUAAAUUUUCAUGUACUAUAUUAGUAUUUACGAUUUCACAUAAACAGUAAUAUUUCUGACAUUCAAACACCAAAGACUAACCAAGAUGCAUCUUGAAAUACAAUAUAAUUCAAUAUAAUUUGCAGCCUUUGAUAUCCUGCAGGUAACUAAGUCUUGUGUCUACGACAUAUGUGCUUGUAAAUUCGACAUUUGUGCUUGUAAAUUAAUGUGUGCCACAAAUCUUAGGCUGCUGGUGGUUGUCUUGCACCUUUAAGGCUUGGCCGUUGGUUAGACUUGUACAGUGGUACUGGAUCAGUUGGAAUUUCAUAAGCAAAAUUUGCAAUUGAUAUGCGAGUGUGCAGUUUUGAAAUUACAGAGA